UACGGAGGGCGCAAGCGUUGUUCGGAAUCACUGGGCGUAAAGCGCGUGUAGGCGGCUUGGUAAGUCGGGUGUGAAAGCCCGGGCCUAACCCCGGAACUGCACUCGAAACUGCCUCGCUCGAGUCCCGGAGAGGAUGGUGGAAUUCCCGGUGUAGUGGUGAAAUACGUAGAUAUCGGGAGGAACACCAGCGGCGAAGGCGGCCAUCUGGACGGUGACUGACGCUGAGACGCGAAAGCGUGGGGAGCAAACAGG
rnacentral:rRNA from 1 species